ACCAGCCCAUGGAAUUUACAUGGGUAGCCAAACUAAACAAACCUAGAGAAACAAUUUGUAUGAAUUGUAAAUAUUUUUUUAUAGAAAUGUUUUCAUUUGGAGCAUGAAAACUACAACAAGAACAACAACAAGAACAACAAACAGUGCCCACCAAGAUAAUAAACCUUUGCGUAAAUUUCUUAAAGCCAUUGAGAUUGAUGCGUUGCCCAAGAGUUACAUGUGUGUCGAGUAAAUGAAUUCCAUUGGCCAGGGGUUGGGCCAUCAUUCAGAUGGCAGAUACGUAGCAAAAGAUGCUGAUUUAGAUGGAGGAAAGCAUAAAAUGUAAAUCAUGUCGAUGAGAUACGAGACUCGAGAGUCCAGCUGAUUUUCGAAAUGGCCAAAAAUGGCCAAUAGAAGAGUUUCAGCAAGAAUGAUAGCAGGCAGGGGAAGCAGCUGCUAUUAUCUUAGCAAUUGCCAUCACAGUGUUUGUAUGACAGAAAUUGCCUUUUAAAAUAUUCAGCCGGGCACAGCUGCUCUUCAACAGCAACAGCAACAGCAACAGCAACGGAAACUUUGCUGCUGAGCAAACGCAAUCAAACUUACGCAAACUUCGAGGAGAAAGAGUUAAAUAUUUAUCUGUAACUGAAACUUUGACAUAUGCCACUUGGCGAGCGCUGCAACAGUUCGCAGAAUUCUUGUUUGGAUGUAUUUGCCAAAAUAUGAAAACGUGCUGAAAAGCGCUUUACAAACUGCUCGCCCCUCCACUGACUCAUAUCGAAUUGUGUAAAUCAAAUCAAAUGCUAAACACAUGCAGAGCGUUUGCUUUGAGCAGCCCAUUCAAAUUGUUGUCGAAAAAGUGGCACAGAGUGGCAAAAAAAAAAAAAAAAAGUAAAAAAAUUCAAUGACUUUUUGGCUAAACGAGUUGAAUGAACAACGAAAAAAAUAAAUACGCCCGUGGCAUAAAA